CAAAAAGUUAAGUAAAUAAUGAAACAAGGUAGAGGAGAGAAAACCCCAACAAUCCCCUCUGAGCACGCACUAGGCGACAGUGGGGAGGAAAAACUGCCUUUAAACGGGCAGAAACCUCCGGCAGAACCAGGCUCAGGAGGGGACAGUCAACUGCCGGGACUGGUUGGGGAGGUGAACAGAGGUGGAGCAAGACGAGGCUACACCUGCUGAGGAAGCAGUAGAGUUCCUCCUCCAGGGCCAGCGGAAGCGUUUGUUCUUCUUUUUCAUGCAGUUUUCUACAAGAGCUUUUUUUUCCAGGAUGAGGGUUCUCAACUCAUCGAUGGUUUCUUUGUUUUGUUUCUCAAGCUUCUUGCACGUUUUCUCCACCUCUUCCAACGUUGCUUGUUUUUCUUCAAGCUUUUCCCUGAGCUCUUUGGAUGUUUCCUCCUGCAUUAUCUUGUCCUUGUGCAUGUCUGCGUUUCUUUGUUGUACUUCUUUGUACAUGUCUUGUAGCUCCUCAUUUCUUUUGUGGAUAUCUUGGAGCGUACGCUGCAGGUCGUCAUGUAUGUUGUCUUGUUCUUGCUUUUGCGCCUGCAUUUCAGUGUGUUUGCGCUUCAAGUUGUUGUAUUCCAACAAUAUCCCCUUAGUGAGCUCGGAGUUGUUUCUUGCCAUUUGCUCCAUCCUUUUCUGCAUGUGCGAGCAUUGUUUGUCCAGUUUUUCUUUUUCCCCUUCUAGUUGCUUUUUCUCUUGAAGAAUGUCUUUGUUUUGGCGCAGAGUAUCAUCCACCUUCUCUUUCAGCAUUCUGUAUUUUUCCUCCGUGACUUUGAGUUUGUGCUCCAUGUCUCUUUGCCUUUUCUCCUGUUCUUCCUUCUGUUGGAGGAUUUCUUUAUUUUUUUUCACAGCUUCAUCGAAGUUUGUUUGGAGCAGCCGAUUCCUUUGGUCCAUAUAUUGGAGAUCCCAUUCUGUCUUCUCAACAGUAGCUUUGCUGUCUUUAAGCUGGUUGGACAUCUCCUUUAGUUCCACGCUCUUUUGCUUGUUUUCCUUAAUUAGGAAGACAAUCUGCUCUCGGGCUUGUCCAAACUUGAUUCCCCAACCCUCAUUAAUAAUAUUUAUGUCGGGCUGGCGUUUUUGUCUUUCUUCCAGGCUUUUAUAUUUCACUUCCAUCUGUCUACACUUCUCCUCCAGUUGAAGUUUCUCUUCUUCAAUCUGUUGAAUUUUAUUCUGGAGAUGGUAGUUUUCCUUCCUACUGUCAUGUAAUGCCCUUUGGACGGCUAAGAGGUCACUUGGCUGGCCACGACAGGAAGGAGAAGCGGCGUAAUCUUUUUGCCUUGGUUGGUGUCUUGUUGGAUACAUGUUGAAGGUUGUACACGACAACAACGAAAAGGUUUCCAAAAGUUUCUGUGGUGAACGCGUGAAGGCUGCAAACACAAAUGCUGCGAAGACACGAACUAAAAAACUGCUGUGUGUCACCCCUGUUUAAGGAAAAACUUCAAAGGAUCGUGUGGUGACAUCAUAACUCCGUGAGCCAAUGAGAUUGUCAUGUGACAUUUUGGAAUGGGGAUAUUUUUUUUUAAACCGUUUUCAAAUUUAACUUAAUAUUUGACUGUUUCUUAACUGACCUGUUUAGCUGAUUAAGAAAUGAAUUGAAACGAGCAUCACUAACGUUAUAUAACAGACAACAGAAAAAAACAGGGUUUUUUUCUAAGUAAUAGAGGUAUAAUACAUUUUUUUAAAUUUUUUUUUUAAUUAUCCUACUUUUUAUAAGAGGGAACCUUAUUUAAAGAAUAUGUAUUUAAUUGGAAAACUCUCUAUUCGUCUAAAGGCUAUAACAAGAAAGGUGAGCUUCCUGCUCAAAAAUGAAAUGACCAAAAUAAAUGGAGCAUUUCUCUGCAAUUACAAACUCUGUGUAAACAAUCUUG
ensembl:lncRNA